GGAAUCUUCCACAAUGGGCGCAAGCCUGAUGGAGCAACGCCGCGUGAGUGAAGAAGGUCUUCGGAUCGUAAAACUCUGUUGUUAGAGAAGAACACGAGUGAGAGUAACUGUUCAUUCGAUGACGGUAUCUAACCAGCAAGUCACGGCUAACUACGUGCCCG
rnacentral:rRNA from 1 species